CCCACUGAACGAGGUCAGGGAUGGAACCCGCAACCUCAUGGUUCCUAGUUGGAUUCAUUAACCACUGCGCCACUAGGGGAACUCCUAAUCUAUUCAUAUUUUAAAUAAUCAUUGCUUUUAUAUCCAUAUCGGAAUAGGCUUACCUAUAUGUGCAUGUUUGCUUUUUAACCUAAUCCUUAAAAUCCUUUUUUUUUUUUUUCAGUUUAGAAAGAAAUCCUGCAGCAAUUCUUUUUCCCCCUUCUCUGGGCCCACACUUAAUUUACAGAUUGGUUUAUGCAGAUUUAAAAUUAUUAAAUGUCUUCUUAUGUAAUAAUGGGUUAUACAUAUUUUUUAAUUUAUAUGGUGGUACUAUUAUUUGUAUAUCUUUUAAGUCUUUCCAUUUAUAUUCUAAAAUAAUAUCAACUCCAGAGUUCCCUUAUGGUCUAGUAGGUUAAGUAUCCUAUGUUGUCACUGCUGUGGCCAAGGCCACUGCUAUGGCACGUGUUUGAUAGCUGGCCAGGGAACUUGCACUUGCUGUGGUCAUGGCCAGAAAAAAAAAAAGAUCGUCUCCACUGUUUGAUUUAAACACUAGUGACAAUCUGCCUUGAAAAAUUAAAAAAGCAAUGUGCUUAUAUUCCUUGCACCAUAUUCUUUCCUUUAUUCUUCCUCUAAUAUUUAAUUAGCUGUUUUUUGACAUUUUAUUAUUUAUAAUAUUUUAUUCUAUUUUUUUCACCAAAUCCUAGUCUUUCAUAAUUUUCAUGGCUUUUAUAUUCAAGUACAAUCAAUUUACUCCACUUCUUUAACCAUUAUUUUUCCAAUUAUCCUAGAGUUCUCUCAUGUUUGAGAUGUUAUUUGCCUUUAUUUGUGAAAAAUGCCUGGCUGGAAAUGAAAGUUCUCAUGGAAAAUGAACUCAGUUUCUUAUGCACCACAUCCCACACCCCCCAUAGAUGACAUGAUUUUUUUGACUUGAGUGCUCAUAGUAUCUUUUAAGUCCAUCUUUGAAAUUUUGGGGUUGAUUGUUUUAGAUCAGUUUUGGAGGGAGAAAUUUACCUUUUCAAUCUUUUACUGCAGGAUAGUUUUUUUCUAUUAUAUCUUUUAGCAAACUUCUGCCUCAUUUGUUUCCUUUUUCAGCAACAUCUAUUAUGCCUAUUUUGGAAUGCUUUUGUUUAUCAUAUUCUUUCAUUUUCUGUCUUCUAUUUGUGAAAUAUUUUUCUCUUCUUCAUUUUAUUUUGCUCGAUCUUAUCAGUGUUGUUCUUCAAUAUUCAUGGCCUUGUUUUCACAGUGCCCUUUUAGAUGCUUCUAAUAUUUCAUUCAUUUAAAUCAUGAUUUUAUUUUCCUAUUUAAUUGAUUUUAUGUAAAAUAUCCUUAUUACCUUCAUCUGCUUUCUUUAUAUGCUUUGUGGUAUAGUUUUUCUGGUGUACUUUUUGGCUGUCUUAAUUUUUUUCUUGAAAUAUUUCUUUAUAUAUUUUGGUGGCUUUUUUUUUAAUAUCUUUUUACGUUUUCCAUACUGGUUCAUUCCUAGUUAUUACUCAUCCUUAAAAUUAAGACUGUUAAGAAAAGGAGGAGGCAAGCUGAGUCAUUUGUCAAAAUAACAGAAGACUUGGCCCUUUGAAGUGAGAGAAUUGACAAAAGAUGAAUAGUGUACUGGCAGAGCUCAAAAAGAACUGAGAGAGAAAAACAAAAUCUUAAAAGACAUCAGGACAACAUCAGAUGCUAUAAAGAAUAGAACAGACAGCAUGAAAACAUAGUCAAUGAUGAGUACGUUUUUUUUUUUUUUGCCACCUGAGGCAUGAACAUGUUCCAGGGCCAGGGAUCAAAUCCAUGCCACAGCAGUGACAACAUCAGAUCCUUAACCUCCUGAGCCACCAGGGAACGUCCAAUGAUGAAUAGAAUAGGCUUGGAAAGCCAUUUUUUAGUGGACCAGAUUUUCUUUUCUUUUCUUUUUUUUUUUUUUUGGAGAUAAAGUGUAGCAGAAGGGCCUCAAGAGUGAACUUGGUUAAUUCAUUGUUUUUGUAGGUUUUAAAUUAUGUAUUGGAUUAUGUAUUGGAUUCUGCUACCAUUUAACUGAUCUUAUUGGGGUCAUGUUGAAUCCUAUGUCACUGGAUUUCUUGUGUAUUGAUUUAGUGUUUAGUUCUUACCUGGCCAAGAACUGGUUACUGCCCUCCAUCUCUCUUCUCACCUCUCAUCCAAAAGGUGAGUUUUUCUUUCAAAAUGUUAGUUUUCUCUUACUAAGCUCCAUCUCCUUUGCCGCAGUUGGUUGUCAGAUAGCUGUAGGGACUCUCAAGCACUCCACCAUGCACCCAGAUCUUGCCUUUGCAAGUUAGGAGUUGUUGAUUUCACUCUUCAUCUGGUGCCCUCUCUGUAAUCUGAAAAUAUGCAUAAUCUGCUGGCUGCUCUCCACUUUCUCUCUCAGUGAGGUCUAAUACCAUGCUUGACAACUUCUUAAAAUACACUUCAUUAUUGUGACUGCAUGUACAUAUAUAUUUAUACUUUGUCUUUCCAUGUAUAUUUCAUAUUUCCCAUUUUUCUUCACCUUGUAGUUUUGUAUUUGUUUCAAAGAAGAGAGCCCAGGCUCUGCCAUAUUAACUAGACAUCUUGACAACAGUCAUAUGAGAAAUCCCUUCCUCUGGACUGAGCAUUGCUCUCUCACUGUCAGCCACCUUCCAGAAUGAAGAUACUGAUUUAAUGACAUGGUGACACUUUAUGUCAGAAAUACCAUAGUCUAAAUUUAUUUUUAUUAUGUUGUGAAGGCCAUGGAAAAGUGCCAGGGAAGUGUGAGUGGCAGCUGCCUAAAGAAUGAAGAAAUUGAAGAGGGAAGAAUUAGUGCCUUGUUGCUCCAGGCAUUGACUUUCCAGUGAUAGCCACUGGCAUUCUUCUAAUGACUCUGUACUUCCUUGGUUCCUGAGACCAUCCUGAACAAAGUAAGCUAUUAAUAGUCCCAGAUCCAUUGGUUGGUAAGACCCAGAAUUAGCUGUGCUCUCCACAAAUCAAGGGUAAGCCCAAGGUGUUCAGGUGGCUGACAAAUCGCAGAAAUACCUUCCUAUUACCCAGCUUAUAUGAUGUGACCCUACCCAUCAAAUUCUGUCCCUCUGUAACAUAGUUGCUGAAUGAAUGAAUGCUUUGAUUCUCUUCUAGUUCUAGAGUCAGGCUUUAAACCUGGCUACUUGCUACUCAUCUGGGGCCUUGUUACUGUUGCUCUGUAUUCACAUGGCUUUGUACUCUAUGCCUGUCUUAUCCUUUUCUGUCUAUAUCAAAGUCACUGUCAUUGGAUUUAGAGCCCUAAUCAGGAUAAUCUCAUCUUGAGAUCCUUAAUUACAUCUGCAAAUAUCCCCCCCUCCUUUUUUGUAAAUAAAGUCCUAAUCACAGGUUUUGGGUGGACAUAUAUUUGGAGGGGGCACCAUUUAACCCACUAUACUUGCAAAACAUGUACUGGAGAACAUUCUCAUGUCUGACAGACAAACAUGUCCAUCAGUAAUAAAUUGAUAUAUAGGAAGAUUGUAAGCUGUGACUUAUGUGGCUUCUAAUCUCUAACAUAAUAGUGAAUUUUUACAGUGGUGAUUGAAAAUCAUUGGGUGAUUAUAAGACCACUUAAAUGCCUGUCUUUGAAUAUAGCCAAGAUUUUACUUUUUGUUGGGCCUUACCCACAAGGUUGAGCUCCUCUGACUUUGACACUUGUCCCGACCUCAUCUAAACUGCUCUCUUCUUUUUGCAUUUUACUUUGCUAACCCUUUUAGGGCCCCUAUUUUGGCAUACUGCCUGGUCCUGUAGAACUUCCCUUCGCAUUCUCAGCUGUAUGGUGGGGGUCCUGGCAUAGUUUCAGUGCAAACAGCAUUUUCAAUGAAGAAAAUAUUUGCAAGUUCUGUCACUGUACCUAGGCUCAUUUUGUUGCAUUUCUGUGAGCAAGAAGUAGUAAUACUAGAACAGUGGGCACCAAGUUUGUAGAAUGCAGAACAAAGUAAGUUAGGCAACCUGCUUUGGUUCACGCAGCAGAUACCUGGUAGAACUGUUUCAAAUCCAGGUCUUUCUAACUCCAGAGCCCAAGCAUUUAGCCCCUAUACUAUAAGACUACAUUGGAAAGCAGCCACUUAAACCAGGGAUGGGUUUAUAUCACCAUUGUGUGCAAGUUUAAUAGGAAUUCUACAGUAGACGGUCUCUGUAAGAUCGUCUGACUCCUCAUAAUAGUGUAAAGAAUGAAAUAAAUUACUUUAUCUAGAGGGUUAAGUACUUAAUUAAAGAAUUUUUUUAUAGUUCCCACUGCAGCACAGUGGUUUAAGAAUCUGACUGAAGUGGCCUGGUUCACUGUGGAGGCACAGGUUUAAUCCCUGUCUGGCACAGUGGGUUAAAGGAUCCAGCUGCAGCAUAGGUCACAGCUGUGGCUGGGAUUCAGUUUCUGGCUCAGGAAUGUCCAUAUGUCACAGGUAAGGCCAUUAAAAAAAAAUUUUUUUUUAGAACUGUUUGAUAGAUAUAAUUCUUCUUACUCGCUGGUAACAAAGGCUGCUUUUAACUUAAAUGUUCAAUGCUGUGCAUGUUACCAAUUCCUAGAGGUGGUUGAAUGUUAGAAAUAACCUUGCUCAGUUAAAAAGGCAUGCGAGAGAGGGCAGGGGGUAGCAAUGGUGAACAUAGUAAAAUGAGGAACAGUUGAAAGCUCUACCAUAAACAGCAAGGAAAGUAUUGAAAUUACGCUACACAGCCUAAACACACACAACACUUCAUUUUCCUUUGCAUGAAACUGGGCUGACCUUCACAGUUCUGAAAUAACAGGAAAUAAUAUUUCUCUGGUAACUGUACUGCAUUUUAGGCCAGCAGUUAAUCAGAAUGCUCAGCAUGAAUAAAUACUGUUAGAGAUUUUUAGGGCCGAUUUCUAUAGAAAGUACAUGUUAAGUAGUAAUAUAAAUGUAAGAGCUUACAGCAAAAUGAAAUUCAUAAUAUAAAGGUCAAACUUGCCUAAGAGAGACUUUAAGGUAAACUAUUGGGUUGAAAACCGAUUCCCAUUUUGUUUUAGUGGUUAGUAACGUAUGGUGGCUGAGGCAAUAUGUUUCAGUUGAGUGAAUCUUGUAGCAUUAUCUUGUGCUUGAUUCAGCAGAAAUGUGGAUGAUUUUUGCAGGACUAUGAAAAAUGGCUGAAUUCCCUCUUCCUGUAUCUGAAAUUAAUGACUAGAAACAUUAUCAACAAGGAGAACCUAUUUUUUUUUUUUUCCCACCAUGUGAUGGUCUAUCAUUAGACUCCAGAAAUUUUCUCAGGAUUUAAGCAUUUUUACAUUUAUCAUUGAGACAUGGUACCUGGUUUGGAUCCCUGGAAAAGGAACAUAUACGUGAUGCCACUGUAUUCAUCCACCAGGUACCCAGCCCGACUACAGUGAGGAUGGCUCCAUUAUGCUUAGCUGUGUCUCAGUGAAAGCAGAACAAAAGGGUUUCAGAAAAGAGAAGGGAGCAGACUACACUGCUGCUUUUAGUCUGAAGAUUGCAAAUGUGACAGACUGGAAAUACUGGCACAACUUAGCAUUUUCUAGUAAGAGAAAUGCUUGUGCCUGCUUUCUGUUUGCUUUCUUUCUGGUGCACCAUCCUUCAUAACUGCAAAGAUAACCUGCAGGAAGAAGCUAAGCCCUUGGAAUUUUCUCCUGAUUGUGCCAUCUUGAGAAGGAGAGGGGGCUGUGGCUUUCUGAAAAACCACACUCAACUUCAUCUGUAAUUUUCUCAAUGUAAGUUCCAUUUUGCCUUCUACUCUCUUAUUCCUUUUUUAAAUCAACAACACAUGUUAAAAUUUAAAAACUCCUCUGGAAUAGAUCAGGUUUUCACCAUUUUUUUUCUUUUUUUCAUGAGAAUUAAAUUCAUGAAAAAAUUUGGAAGAAUUAUACCUUGGUCUGAAGACAUCUUCAUCUGAAGAUUUGGCUGGUGAAUUUAAGCCAUGGUUCAAAUCUGACCAUACUAAUUUCACUUGGUAGAAAGUUCUGAAAUUCAUUCUGAAACAUAGGAUUGAGAUUUUUCAUGUAACUUUUUUUUUUAAUUACUAGAUAAAUUUCCUUGUGACUUAUAUAAAUCAAAUGUAUUCUCUUUCUGAUAAAUUAUGAUUUAAUUUUUUCAUCGAUUGCUUAUUGUGUGGCAAGACAUAUAUGUGAUUUUAUCAACUAUGGAUGUUUGCCUGACCCAAGAAGUUCACUGAGCUUCCAGAGAUGGUAAGACCAAUUAGUUGAUGUUGAUUAGGAAAUUGCAACUCAAAAUAUUGUCUGAGCCAAAAGAAUCACCUGGGGGAUUUUCAGACGUGAAGAAACUCAGGCUCAAUCACAUACCUAAUGAGUCAAAACCUGUAUUAUAUAACAAGAUCCCUGGGUGAUACUUAAGUACUUAAAAUUUGAGACAUACUGGAAAUCAUUCCUUGGCAUCUAGACAGUGAUGUCAGGCUGAAUAAUAGCUGUUUUAUUUAUUUAUUUAUUUUUAUUUUAUUUAUUUAUUUUUUUAAGGCAGCACCCAUGGCAUAUGGCAAUUCCAAGGCUAGGGGUCCAAUUGGAGCUAC